rnacentral:lncRNA from 1 species
UUUUUUUUUGUUCUUUCUCAUAAAAGAUAGAGACGAUAUGCCAUGCACACGAAACUACAUUCCGCGCCGAAAUUUACACAACGUUCCAAGAUUCAAACCUAAACAAAUGACUGAUGCAAAAGCCAAGGUGUACUUGGAAAGCUUCAAAGGUAUAGAGAUGGAACCAUGUUUCAAAUCCUGUUCGUAUUUUCAAUAGUACAGAUUUAGUUAGGUCUGUUUGGAAUAGAGGAAUGUACUCUGCCAGAAGUUUACGGAUGCCAGCGCAAAUUUGUUUAAGGUUGAAGGCCACAGUUAUUUUAAUUUCAAUUUUUAAGUUUUCUUACGUUUCUACUACAUCGGCUCAAUUUCUAGAAAUGCCCUAAGUGAAACUUUUAAAGUUUGAUCUUUUGUUUUACAAAAGAGUAGUAACGUUUGUGAUAAAAAAUAAUAGUAUAAAAAUAUAUUUCAUGUUGUAUCUGACUAUAAAUUUUAUGCCAUAAAUAUUAGCUUAUCUAUAAAAUUUGGUUAAAUUUAGACAAAUUAUUUAGAAAUGGAGAGAGUAUGUAAGGGAUCAGGUGCUUCAAGAGAGUUGGAGGGAUAUGUAGAAGAUCAAAGUAGAAAAUGGUGGCAAAUGGCCAAAAUGUUAUUAUUCUGAUCCCGACGUAAAGAUGUGUCCAUCUGGUUAUGGCUUGUCGUCAGGUCGAGAGGUGUGUGUGUG